ensembl:ncRNA C02C6.9 ncRNA
GACAUAAACAUGUCAUAAUGGAUGAUUACCCUUCUUCAGACAAAAAGGGUUCUUGUCGUUGUUUUUUCUUCCUCGAUUUUGUCGUUAUUUUCUUUUGUUUACUCACUUAUACGCCUUUUUUGUCUUUAAGAUUG